rnacentral:rRNA from 1 species
GAUGAACGCUGGCGGCGUGCCUAAUACAUGCGAGUCGAGCGAACAGACGAGGAGCUUGCUCCUCUGAUGUUAGCGGCGGACGGGUGAGUAACACGUGGAUAACCUACCUAUAAGACUGGGAUAACUUCGGGAAACCGGAGCUAAUACCGGAUAACAUGUUGAACCGCAUGGUUCAACAGUGAAAGACGGUCUUGCUGUCACUUAUAGAUGGAUCCGCGCCGCAUUAGCUAGUUGGUAAGGUAACGGCUUACCAAGGCAACGAUGCGUAGCCGACCUGAGAGGGUGAUCGGCCACACUGGAACUGAGACACGGUCCAGACUCCUACGGGAGGCAGCAGUAGGGAAUCUUCCGCAAUGGGCGAAAGCCUGACGGAGCAACGCCGCGUGAGUGAAGAAGGUCUUCGGAUCGUAAAAUUCUGUUAUUAGGGAAGAACAAAUGUGUAAGUAACUAUGCACGUCUUGACGGUACCUAAUCAGAAAGCCACGGCUAACUACGUG